rnacentral:rRNA from 1 species
CAGCACCUCAAGUGGUCAGGAUGAUUAUUGGGCCUAAAGCAUCCGUAGCCGGCGCUGUAAGUUUUCGGUUAAAUCUGUACGCUCAACGUACAGGCUGCCGGGAAUACUGCAGCGCUAGGGAGCGGGAGAGGUAGACGGUACUCGGUAGGAAGGGGUAAAAUCCUUUGAUCUAUUGAUGACCACCUGUGGCGAAGGCGGUCUACCAGAACACGUCCGACGGUGAGGGAUGAAAGCUGGGGGAGCAAACCGGAUUAGAUACCCGAGUAGUCC